CCGGGUGUGGCGCAGUUUGGUAGCGCACUUGCUUUGGGAGCAAGGGGCCGCUGGUUCGAAUCCAGUCACCCGGACCA
rnacentral:tRNA from 1 species